ACGUUAUCCAGUUAUCUACGUUUCAAAUUUAUGAAUAGUACAGUGAAAGAUUGUAUGUACGAUAUUUUACGAAGCAACUGAUAUAAUGUGUGACGAUCUAGCGAUAAAUUAAUUAAUUGAUACUUCAACGCGUAAUUUUGCUACAGGUACCAAAGAGAUCACUGGCAAGAGUCAGGUCUGUCGCGCAGGUAAACCACUCGUUGCAUUCCCUCGAGAUUUAUACUCCGAAGAAUGCCGUGGAGAGCAGCUCGGGAGAGGCCUGCACCGUGGAUCGAGAGGAACCAUGGCACGAGGAAGGGAGAUCGGGGUGAACUCUCUGAGGAGGAGACGCGUGGUACUGGAAGAAGAGGUCGAUGGAAGUCCCCGCUGCAACACGGCGCGUUCUACACCCCCGCAAACAUACGGGCCCCAUUGUGUACCCUUAGGGGCUGGCACCCCGUGGCGGUUUCGCCGGAGCCGUGGAGAUACGAGCCGAGAUACGGCAGCGUUUAUAGAACGUACACCAUGUUUCUUCAGUGAAAAGCUGCGUAUACGAGGUAGCCUGAAAACCGUUGGCUUGCUUGCAAGCUGUCGGGGAAAAGCGAGAUGGAAAAGGGGUGGAGAGAGUGAAAGCGGCCGGUAUGUAUGCGGUGUAUGUGAUUCGACAAGGAAGGUCGAAUGUCGCGAGUUCCGCGAAUACGCGCCGACUGAAUAGAUUUGCACAAAUGAAGUCGGAGCUCUCACAGUCAGCCGACGAUUCAGCAAGCUUACGCCCUCUCGUUAUUUUUUACACUUAUUUCCCUCCCCUUCGCUCGUGUUGCACGAUCCACGCGUUCUGUCUCUCGCUUCAAGCUCCUCUCAUUCACCUUUGAACGCGACCGCGUUAGAGAUAGUACAACGAUGUUUGCUUUAUUACGAGCAUUGGGAUAAUCAAGCCUUCAAACAGGCUUGUGCGAGUCUCUCUUUUUCGUUGAAAGAUUCUCCGCUUGUUCCACGGUGGAUAUAUUACUGUGAGAAUGAAAAUUUCCAUAUGAAAUUUUUCUUCCUUCUACCCAAUUACAUUACGAAAAGAAUGGCAAUUGAAGACAACUCUGCCCCCCCCUCCCUAGUAAUUCGAGUAAGCGAACAAAAGACAACUCUUGCAAUUUCUAUAUGCGCGUAUCUCGUAACAGUGCUAAUAAAAUUUGAAAAUCUAAGAGAAAGUUAUCUCAAUUAAUCGAAAUCGCUAUAUUUAGUUUAACUAUACCAGAGCAACGAAACAUCACCGCAAGCUCGAUCUUUAACAAGGAAUCGAUAAGGUUGUAAAACAACUCGGUGGAGUCACCGCGGAGUCCAGUUUGAGCAGCGCGGAUACAAAAAGAGAGGAAGUCAAAGAUGACUAUCGUUCAUCGCUCUCGUCCCCAGGGAGAGAAAGAUAUAUCCCGGGGGCUGGAGAGCCGUGGUAACGUGGGGUAAAGACCGUCGAGGGAUGAGAAGUCAGGCUACCACCGCCGUUCCACCUUAUCACCUACCAAAUAAUAGAGGCAUAUUGAAUAGAUAGGCGAGGCCAACCGAUGUGUAUCCGAUCCACAACGUCUCCGGGGGAUAUUAAGGAAUCGGCCCUUUUCCACGCCCUUCGAGUAUCGCGUGGAACGCUAUCGCGAGUAGAGAAGAAGUGUUUUCGAAUAAAUCCGCAGUCCUCUCACGUUCGACGUGCCACCCUCGCGGCGAGGAAAAGGUUUCUUUUCCCGGCCUCUCUUUCUUCGGAUACAAACAAAUUCCGUGUUGCCGUGAAAUCGAUCCGUGACACGGAUUGAUUUCCAUGCGGAGAAUGCCGCUUCCUUCGCUCUGGACAGACGCGGUGACGCGAAACACGAGCACCUUCGUGUUACCCGUUUUGCCACUGGAUGUUGCAGAAUCGAAACGGUUUUGUGGAUUUGUUGGCAUUGAGAUUUCUGAAGGUGGCAUGGUAUUUUUCCGAUAAUAUUUUUGCAGUUUCUUUACAAAACGACAAAAUUAAAUCUUAAUCUAUUCAAAGGAUUAACGAUCAUUUAUAAGUUCAACUUAGCAAAUGUCAGGAAUCGAAAUUAAUUCCUACUCUCUUAACAUUCAGAUUCUUCAAUUUUAUAUUCUUCACUGUUACCGCUCCUGUUUCCACCGACCAUUGCUUACAGCAUAUUGUACAUUUUCCGCGGUGUACUCUUUAAAUCCGACAACGAACCACGCGAUUCUCUUGUGCAAGGGUUGCAUACGAGCAACACACGUUCGCAAAACAACACAGGAGCACGAUCCCGUGCGUAUCCCACGCGUAAACUGUUCGUACAAUUUCCGGAAAGUGAAAGAAAAUCAGGCAGAGAAAAGAGGAAAGGCGAUCGAGUUGAACGAGAGAAUAAGGGAGAAACGAAAUCCGUGUGUUCGGUGGCUGGCAGCGUAUUGGAUUUGUUGGCGGUGUGUUGAACAAAUGAUUGCGCAGCUACCGCCAUGGAAAAACUUGGCUGGAAACGGCUCCAUUCGACUAUUCCUACGGUUUCUCUUGGUUUCCUUCGCCUCGAGACCGACCGAGGGUUGUCGAACCAAGAAAGUUUACGGGCUACAAAGCGCUGCUGGAGAAAGAGCCACGCGAGAAAGACGGAGAGACUACAAUCGUCUCUCGAACCUUGCCCAACCCCUCUUUUCCUUCGACCGCCCUCUUUUCCACUCGAACCACGCGCGUACGCGUACGUUUUACGUGACUGGGCUAUGGUAGUGGUGGCUGAAAAUUCACAGUCUCGCGUUCGAUCGAGAGUCGGCUGGCUGUUAGCAUUUUCCACGACAAGUUGGUUACCGUGUCGCGUGUAAAGGAAAACCAGACGAACCUAGAACCCGAAUUGUUCCUUCGUUUUCGCGUUGAUUCUAUUUUCAUUUUUAAACUGGAUGGAAGAAAAACAACGUACAAAAAGAAUUUAUUAGGAAAUUCGACUAUAGAAUUACGAAUGAGCAGGACCCUCCUGUACAACAAUUUGCCAAUUAACGAUAUCCGUGUAUCGACAAGUUACAAAUUAUAACUUAUAGACUUUAUUUUUAUGAUUCUACAAUUUUUCGUCAAAUCGGAUAAUCGGAUACCUUGUAAUUUGUAAAAUGUAUCUGUAAAAUUUUGCUAAAAGUAUUAAAUUAAUUGC